UUCCAGGGUUGUUGUUCGCUUUGGACCAUGAAAAAGUUCAAGGAGCUGAGAUUAGAGAAAAAUCACAUAAAAUGUAAAAGGGCGUAAAGCCAAUAGGGUUAUCUAUCUAUCUAUCUAUCUCCAUACACCACAUCUAUCUAUCUAGCUAUCCCGAGAGGCGGAGAUAACCAUGCUGGCGGCUGUGAGCCUCUUUUCCCAGAGGCAGCCACAAGGGUGCAAAUGUUUCAACGCAGCCCCAAUCUACUCCAUCCAAGAGGCUGGUCCAGAUUAGAAGGCAGAAAAAAGGAACUCGGGCCGACAUAUUCGCCGAGCUCAUGCAGUCCUCCAGCGCUGAUAGGGCCCCGCUGAAUGCGUGGUGGUAAACAAUUGCGCAGUCACGUAAUGCAUUACAGGAACACGAAGAGAGGAGGGACGUGCGCGAUGAGAGCAGGCAGGACACUAUGGUCGAGCUCAUGGGGGAGCAAACUGACAUGCUGCCCUGUAUGGUGGAUCUAAUGCAGGAAAGGCAGAAAGAUCACAGAUUGCCGCUGCUGCCCCUGUAUAACUGCCCUCCCUCCUCCCCAAGUUCCAUAGCCUCCUCACCCAGACGCCCAAGAACACGACGGGGGAGGCUAAGGGGACUCACACACUCAACCCCAGAGGCUCACCCAAGCAGCAGAAAGUUGGCAUAUGUGAACUUUUGAUUUGGUUUCUGGACUUCUCCUUCCCUUCUUCUCCACCCCCAUAACCCAACCCCUCCUCCCCCCAUUUACCUUCUGAUUUCUCUCCAUGUGUUGUGCAAUGAAUACUAAAGAAUGGUUUUUAAACAA